GGCGCACGGGUGCGUAACGCGUAUACAAUCUGCCUUUAAGCGGGGGAUAGCCCAUGGAAACGUGGAUUAAUACCCCAUAGUAUGUAGACUUCACCUGGAGAUUACAUUAAACAUUUAUGGCUUAAAGAUGAGUAUGCGUCCUAUUAGUUAGUUGGUAAGGUAACGGCUUACCAAGACCGCGAUAGGUAGGGGUCCUGAGAGGGAGAUCCCCCACACUGGUACUGAGACACGGACCAGACUCCUACGGGAGGCAGCAGUGAGGAAUAUUGGACAAUGGAGGCAACUCUGAUCCAGCCAUGCCGCGUGCAGGAAGACGGCCCUAUGGGUUGUAAACUGCUUUUAUACGGGAAGAACCACAUCUACGUGUAGAUGCUUGACGGUACCGUAUGAAUAAGGACCGGCUAACUCCGUGCCAGCAGCCGCGGUAAUACGGAGGGUCCAAGCGUUAUCCGGAAUCAUUGGGUUUAAAGGGUCCGUAGGCGGGAUAAU
rnacentral:rRNA from 1 species